UGUUAUUGAAUUGAUGGUCAACAUAUGCUUCAGAAACUCCAGAAUUAGUAGAGGUGGCUAAAAAAGUAUUAUUUAAUUUUACUAUUUAUUAAAUAUUAUUUUAUAUAUUAUUAAUUCAAUUGAUUGUUUUUAAGGAGAAAUAUUUUUGCUUACCACUUUAACCCAAGGUGUACCCUCACCACCCUUCUCAACACUUGACAUGUGUCCAUUGGCAUAACCGUAGUUAGCUCUUUACUUU
rnacentral:lncRNA from 1 species